CUUGCCAGCCCGCCGGCCGCCCCCGCCGCCCCCGAGCCCCGAUGGACUGAAUGAAGGCUGCCUACACCGCCUAUCGAUGCCUCACCAAAGACCUAGAAGGCUGCGCCAUGAACCCGGAGCUGACAAUGGAAAGUCUGGGCACUUUGCACGGGCCGGCCGGCGGCGGCAGCGGCGGGGGCGGCGGCGGGGGCGGCGGGGGCGGCGGCGGGGGCCCGGGCCAUGAGCAGGAGCUGCUGGCCAGUCCCAGCCCCCACCACGCGGGCCGCGGCGCCGCUGGCUCGCUGCGGGGCCCGCCGCCGCCGCCGCCGCCGCCAACGGCGCACCAGGAGCUGGGCACCGCGGCAGCGGCAGCGGCGGCGGCGUCGCGCUCGGCCAUGGUCACCAGCAUGGCCUCGAUCCUGGACGGCGGCGACUACCGGCCCGAGCUCUCCAUCCCGCUCCAUCACGCCAUGAGCAUGUCCUGCGACUCGUCCCCGCCCGGCAUGGGCAUGAGCAACACCUACACCACGCUGACGCCGCUCCAGCCUCUGCCGCCCAUCUCCACCGUGUCGGACAAGUUCCACCACCCGCACCCGCACCACCACCCGCACCACCAUCACCACCACCACCACCAGCGCCUGUCGGGCAACGUCAGCGGCAGCUUCACCCUCAUGCGCGAUGAGCGCGGGCUCCCGGCCAUGAACAACCUCUACAGCCCCUACAAGGAGAUGCCCGGCAUGAGCCAGAGCCUGUCCCCGCUGGCUGCCACGCCGCUGGGCAACGGGCUAGGCGGCCUCCACAACGCGCAGCAGAGCUUGCCCAACUAUGGGCCGCCGGGCCACGACAAAAUGCUAAGCCCCAACUUCGACGCGCACCACACUGCCAUGCUGACUCGCGGGGAGCAGCACCUGUCCCGCGGCCUGGGCACCCCGCCCGCGGCCAUGAUGUCGCACCUCAACGGCCUGCACCACCCGGGCCACGCUCAGUCCCAUGGGCCCGUGCUGGCGCCCAGCCGCGAGCGGCCACCCUCGUCCUCGUCGGGCUCACAGGUGGCCACAUCGGGCCAGCUAGAGGAGAUCAACACCAAAGAGGUGGCCCAGCGCAUCACCGCCGAGCUGAAGCGCUACAGCAUCCCACAGGCGAUCUUCGCGCAGAGGGUGCUGUGCCGGUCUCAGGGGACGCUCUCCGACCUGCUCCGGAACCCGAAACCGUGGAGUAAACUCAAAUCUGGCAGGGAGACCUUCCGCAGGAUGUGGAAGUGGCUGCAGGAGCCCGAGUUCCAGCGCAUGUCCGCCUUACGCCUGGCAGCAUGCAAACGCAAAGAGCAAGAACCUAACAAAGACAGGAACAAUUCCCAGAAGAAAUCCCGCCUGGUGUUCACCGACCUCCAACGCCGAACCCUCUUCGCCAUCUUUAAGGAGAACAAACGCCCGUCCAAAGAGAUGCAGAUCACCAUUUCCCAGCAGCUGGGCCUGGAGCUCACAACCGUCAGCAACUUCUUCAUGAAUGCCCGGCGCCGCAGCCUGGAGAAGUGGCAAGACGACCUGAGCACAGGGGGCUCCUCGUCCACCUCCAGCACUUGUACCAAAGCGUGAUGGAAGGACUCUCAGUUGGGCACAAGUCACCUCCAAGCGAGGACAACAGAUACCAAAAGAAAACACAAAGGAAAAAGACACCGGAUUCUUAGCUGGGGCCCUUCACUGGUGAUUUGAAAGCACAAUUCUCUUGAAAAGAAACUUCUAUUCUAGCUGUAAUCAUAGGCCAGGUGUUCUUUUCUUUGUUUGUUUUUAAUGGCGAUGGGAUCCAGGUGCAAGCUGGAAAUUAAUCUCUUUGAACCGGACAUUGUCCUCUGAGCAUGCUAAGCAGCCCAGAAACCCAAAUGGGGCCUUCCUGCAGCAAGUUAAUUUCAGUGUGGUGACAACCAAGCUCAAGAUUGCUUAAAAUGUCAACAGUCCCACUUUGGGUCCUGUCAACCUCUUGCCGUCAGAGUUCCCACGGGUAACGGUGGGAAUGUGGCCCUGUAAGGACUCUGAGUUUGGGCUCCCAAGAUGCUACAAGGAGAGAAGAAUCUAGCAACAAGAAUGACCUCAUUUGCUUUCCAACUGCUUAGCCUCAUCAUACCACAGUACACAAUGUUCACAGCCAUAACGUAAAAAACAUCAGAAUGAUAAUUACUGAGCACAAGUUUUAAAUACGGAAGUUAAAAAAAAUAACAACCCAAGGACCUGUUUUUCCAACUCAGGCAUCUUUUCAUUCAAUGGUUUAGAAAGCUUUAAGUUGAUCCAGUUUACAAUUUUCUUUUCCUUACCUCCUGGAAAUCUCGCGUGGUCUUGGAUCCAUCAAAAAAAACAAAUCAGUUCACUUGAGCUCAAAGUAUCAAGCACAACGAAGAUAAACAGAGAAGUAAGGAAGGUUCUGGAUUCACCGCAUCUGGAUUUUCAAGACGCUGAUUGUGAAGUCAUUAGGGAAUCGUUGAGAAUAUGGCUUCAAGCACAUUUUGCCGUUUGCUAUAAAUUCUGUUUGUACAUAAUGCAGACGCACACUCAGGAGGCCAAUUAACUGUUACGGUACAUGGAACAAAUGCAGCAUUUUAAAAGAUCUAGAUUUUUUUAGAUCAUUAAUGUAUCCUUCUUGAUGAUUAGUCACCUGGUUCCUCCUACUGUGCAUUCUGACCACCACAUAAUUCAUUUUCACUCUUUCAGAUUUAGGUUGUUCCUUCAUCCAUCCCAUUGGUAGGGACGUUUUCAGUGUUUUCUAGCAAGAAAAAAAUGAAUAAUGCAAACCACCAUACGUGUUACUCAUGACUGUCAUCUAGUCCUAAAUCUCUUCCAUUGUUGAAUGAUCCUAGCAAAACAGCUGAAUAAAUUUGGGGAAAACACAGCACACCAAAGAAGCAGAGUACUGCGAACCAAAGACACUUAUUACUUGCCAUUUUCUAGCCUAAAAAUACUGUGAUUACUUUUAGAAAUCAGAAAACCUCUGCAACUCCGAAUGGCAUUCAUUUGCAUUUGGCUCGCCAUCGGGCUGAGCGGACUGGCUAUGCCAAGGACGUUAGCCAAGCCACCCAGGGAGUGGCUUUGCCGUGCCAGCUCUGGUUCCUGGUUGUCACCUUGCCACAGCAAGCAGAAGAGCGCCCGCAGCACUCUGGGAGAUUGCGAAGGUCAUGACGUGCGUAUUUACCAGUGAACGGCCCCAGGUGGGCACCGUGGGGAUGUUCAAAGCAAGCCAAACGCUGCAGUGAUUCUUUACAGACGCUUGAGACUGACUUUUUUAUGAAUUACUUAAUCGAAACCAAAGAAACUUUUUCUGCACCUACUUCUGCAACAAACAAAACAGUCCCAUUAAAAAGAAUAAAUAACGAAAUACGUAAAUCAAUGAAAAUCACCACCGACAAGAAGGAAGCACGCCAGAAAAAAAAAACAAAAAAAUAGGGAGACACACUGUGUUCAAACAGACCUCUUGGGACAUUUUUUUGGAAGCAGAUUUUUGAAGAAAGGGUUGAGACAAGAAUAGAAGUAAGGAAAAGCCUCAGUGGCGGCUGCUUCAUUUGACAACUCACGCGGUAAUCUUAAAGUUGAAGAUUGUCUUUAAUUUGUGCCUAUGCAGUUUUUCAAAAGAACACGGAACAGAGCAACAGAAACCUCAACAGCUACAAUACCAAAGAUGAGGAUUUCUCACACUUCUUGUUUCAGUUCAUUAUCUCCUCUUGCCUGGCUAAAAUACUAAUAGCGCCAUUGAUCUGUGUAAAGGUAAUCAAUUUUGUUUCUGAGCAACAAAAGGAAAGGGUCAUUUAUUUGAUUUUAUUAUUUCCCUUUAAUUUUGUUUUAUGGUUUUCUACCCUACCAUGGAAUCUCUCAAAAGGUUCCAUGGACUCCAAGUUUAAGAUGUUGGGAUACUGAACGACUCUCUUCUCUCUGCUGUGCAGUGUGUGAGGAAUAAUGUUGUCACUUAAAUGUUCUUUGCUUACCCCUUAGACUUGGUUCCUUCUAUGUUCAGAGUCUUAUCUUCAGGGGAGGGAAGGGGAGUGAGGGUCAGGGUCAGGGGUCUUGGUGACACAUCCUCUCCUGAGCCGUAGAACCAAAGAGUUUAUAGAGGAAUUGACAGCCUCAUCUUCAUGUGAUUGCUACAUCCUAACAGGGCUUCAUUUGAUGGUGGGGGAAACAUGUAAAAAUAAUUGCCAGUUUCUACUUUUCUAUUAGCUUUUUAAAAAUCAGCUGUAAAGUUGCAUUUCUAGAGAAAGAUAUAUAUAUAAUAUAUGAAUACAUAUAUAGGUUCAACUUUACAUUGAUGGUAACCCAAAAUUAUUGCUGUCCAAAUUCAUGUCUUGUUUUUGUCAAGUGCUUCAUUUAUGAAGUAUUCAUUUCAGAAUUUUGCUCAUUUCUCAUGCCAUCCCAGAGUUCAUUUGCCACUGUGGAUGAUUUGGAGUAUUCAAAUUUCUGUGAAAACUCCUGGGAAAGGUUGAAAGUCAAGUUCAAGCGUUUCAGCAUUUAACCUGUUGAUAAAUGGAUCCGUGGUGCAAAUGAGUUUUAUUUGUAUUUGGAGUCAUCUCUAUUCUAUGCCUCAACCAUGAUCAAGGUGGUAAGUGAGGUUCAUCCACCAGACCCAGCCCAGAACUGGGCCAGGGCCAGUGGGGUGCUCAUCUUCUGUAACUGCUGAGAAGGCUCAGUAGUCCAUUCCUACCAGUUAUGGAGAUGAAGCCAGCCCAGAAAUCUGUUCUCCAGGAGCUGCCCUGUCCCAUUAGGGUAUUCCAGAUCCCCCUUGGUGAGUAGAUCCACCAAAAGGACUUCUCACAGGGGAAGUCCAACUCCUGUUGCAAUGGGUUGAUCAGGUUUCCUCAGGGUGGUAAUUACCAAUUCGUAUAGACAAGCCUGUGUGCAACCACAGCUGUCACUGGGGUGAGGCAGUGGUGCUGGGGGUGAGGGUAGGGGGUCUCAAUCUUGGAGAAAAAACACAAAGCAGGGUUUGGGGAGAACCUCAGAGUCCUGCCCCUGGGAGCCCCAUUGUCCAUUGUGCCGCCUCCCUGCUCUCACCAUGUGGGUCUCCCUUUGCAGGGGCAGCAGCCAUGGAGCUGGGAAAGAAAGUGAUUCUCUAUAGCUUCUGUAAUUCAUCCUAUCUGUGGAGGUUCCUUGACUUUUCCCUGUGUCCCUUUAUCUCUUGCUCAUAUUCCAUGUCUCCUUUGUCGAUGACCAAGAAAAGAGCAUAUUUCAGCAGGGACAUGCUCCAUAUGGGUUGAUAAAAAUGAAUUUCAGCUUGGAUAUUUCUAAAUGAAUCCAUGUGACUCGUGGCCAGUGGAAAUGGUUGUUCUUCUUGAGAUUGGAUUGAAGAACCAAACCUUCUUGGUUUGGUUAGUGAUUCUUUGGCAUUUGGGUGUCUGGCAUCCCCUGAAGAUGUCUAAACCAAAAGAGGCUGCCUCUGUGGCCUGAGAUUUCAACACUGACCAAACCAGGUGUGGUCACGCAUGCCCUUAGAGUUCCUGGUGACUUGAGGAAGAUCUCAUAAUGUAAAAAAGGCAAGAACUUCCCUCCAAGGACCUUUGACAAAUGUCUCAUACCAGAUAAUGUCAUACUAGAGAGAAGUGCUUGCUUUUAAAAAAUUAUUUACAUACAUAUAUAAAUACGUAUGUAUCUAUAUAUUUAUGUGUCAAAAUUUUAAGCCCUAUAGAAUUUAAGUUUGUUAAAAAUCUGAAAGAAAAAAACGCCUGCAAGUUGAAAGGUAAUGGAAUUUGACCUAGUGAGUUUCCUCAAGCAUUUUUAAAACUUAUUAAGUUAAUAAUUUCAGAGAAAAUAACCGUUUGGACUUGGUUAUGGUUUAGGAUCCAUUUUCUCAAUCCAAGAAAAAUUCCAGGCAUGCCUUAGCUAUUAGCAAUGAAAGGGACAGUGCGAAGGGACAGUUUUGAACCGAAAUUCACAUUCUUGAGGCAACAGAAAUCCAAAGGCUAUUGAGUGGAAAAAUGCUUUCUUUAUUCCUUUAGGUAAAUAGGCUUGCUUUACUUUUGUUUUCAAUGUGAUUUUGAUAUGGGGGAUAUAAUUCCUUCAUUCCAGGAAAUUUAAAAAAAACAGCCACUAUAUCUCUUUUUUAAAGGAAAACAGCAACAACAAUGAAGACUCAACGCCAAUAUUUAAAUGCUUUUCCAAAAUGUGAAAUAGUGUGUAGGUUGUACCAGUUACAGGGACAGGUGAGAGUGAGCCAUGAACGCGCCACGGUGACGCUUUCUCUGGAAUGACGGGAGCGUCACUUCUGCAGCAUCUCUUUUCCCACAGGCUCUUGGCAAUUGUGGGCUUAGGAAAUUCAAGCUAAUUCUAGCUAAAACCAGAUCAAAAUUAGGAAGGUAAAUCUGACACGCACAUGCCAUGUGUAUAUACACAGACACAUGCAUUUUUGUAAGUCAAACAAUUGACAGUUUCAAAGCCAAAUAUAAAUACCUUUUAGAUGAUCAACCAUUUUACCUAAUCUAUACUGGGUGCCCACCUAUUAGUGCUAAUAAAUUAAGGUUGAGCAGAUUUAAAAAAAAAAAAUCACUACCAGCUGGGUACACUGGGGACACUUUCCCACUUUUGAAAAUGCUGGUGGAAUUAUGGAGGUGUCUGAUUACCAUUACCAAAGUGUCAUGACAAUAUACCCUUGUGGUGAACUCUGAUUUUCAGGAGGUUGUAUAGUAGGAAUUUUUAAAAAUAUAAAAAGAACAGGCUGGGCUCCAAUGUUGUUGAAGAAUAAUGGACUAUAUUAAAAAGUAGAGAAAAAGACGUGAUGCCUGUGGUCAAGAUUGACCCCAAGGCCCAAAGAGAAGUACCGUGAAGAUAACUGUCAUGAUUCCUAACAGAUCAGAGCUGAUUUUUUGUUGUUGUUGCUGCUGAUGCUGUGUGAUGCAGACUUAGCCUAACCAGGAAGAGUGAGCAGGAAAUGGUAGAUGGAGAAGCGAUAGAGCUGGUAGGCCUGUAACUUUCUGAUAUUUACCUGCAAGACUGGAUAGCUGAAUAAUUUUGUACCUUUAGCUAAGACCAAGUCACCUCUAAAACAAAAGGAGAUUCUAGUUUUCAAAGAAAGCCACAAAAUCCUUACCAAAGGAAGAAGGGGCAUCCAAGUUUGGUGUAUAAAUCUCCUAAGUUAGUGACAUUGGCUUUAAGUGUGGAUGUCCCAAUGCCUAUUUUCUACCCAUGAUUUGUUUCUUUCCAAGGGCGUGGGGGGAGAGAAAGUUUGUUUUUUUGUUUUAGAAAGUCUCAGAAUGCAUUGUAAAAUACAAAAAUAAUUUUUAAAAUAAUAUAGGGCCUCACAUAGGUAGACACAUAAUUGAGGCUGAUGGGCUAUUGCAUGAAUCCCACGGGGACCAGAAAAACUUAUUGUUCUCAGAUACCAAAAUGACUCUGACAGUCUGAGGCAUGUUAAAGCUAGAGCCCAAGCUUUCCUUAUAGGUUUUUGAGUUUGGUUGACUGGAAUUAACCAGCUAAUAUCUUUUUAGUGGAGAAAAUAUGUAUAGGAAAAAACACAUUGCCACAGGUUUAUCCAUUCCGUGGAAGUCUUCCAUUCUGCUCCAUCUUUAGCAGCAGGCAUUUCACAUAGCAUCAGCCUUGGUAGAUAAGUUUGUCUAAAGCUUAUACAGUCUGUCAGCUUGGAUGUAUACAGAUUUAGAUACAUCUUUCGACGUGUAUUUUCAUAUAUGUCCUUAUAACAGCACACAUGUCCCACGAGUGUCUAGACUGUGCACAGAAACAUGUGCACAGACAUCUCCGUACGUAUAUACUGUCAUCUGUUACAAUAAAUAAAUUUUAAGUGAUCAUUUAACAUGUAUGUGGUACUUCUGCAAUGUACAUUGUUUUCAUUAUUUAUUGUAACAUGGAAAACUAAAGCGCAGGGAAAAAAACAGUAUCCCAGCAUCUUCAUUGGGUACACUUGGAAUUACUUUCAUUUGGGCACAUCCAAGAUAAACUCAACUUUCAACAAACCUUGGAUAUUAUUUAAUCAUCUGUGUAAGACACAUAUGCUUGAUGACUUCGGUUGAAUAGCUUUAUUCUGGAUCUCUCAUAACUAAAGCUAAAUCCAAAGACCUGAAAAAGGACAAAAGAAAAAACAAAAAAAGAAAAAGAAGGAAAAAAUAGCAAAGUAAAGCGCAAAGUAAUAGGGAAAAAGUGGGCUCUGGUUUCCAGGGUUGAGACGGUGGUGACGUGGUAUCGUGGGGGCUGCGCUAGCUAGAGGGGGAAGUGGUGAUUUUUUUUCAUGCUUGUCACAUCUAAAUGUUGUUGAUGAAUGUGAGAAAGUCUUAGAGGUUAUAAUUUCAUGUUUUAUUUUCAUUUAGACUAUCAAAAGAGGUUAUGCAUUUUGUCCAUCAAAAAAUGAAGACAGUCAAAAGAAACAUUUUUUUUUCCUUGUCUCUUUGGGUUAUGACCCAACAAGCUAAGUACCAUUAAUGUAAUUAAUUUAUUUAAAUUAGUUUCUAGCACACAAAUAUAUAGGAUUUGGUAAUUAUUUAAUCAUUCUUCCUUAGUUAGACUUUACUCCUUGUGCUUAUUUAUCAAAAUCUAGACCAAUGGUGCAUCAGAGAUGCAAAAUCCCUUUUAGAGUUCUCUUGAAGUUUAGUUUGCUUUAUAAAGCGGUGAAAUUCUGUUACAGACAGGGAAGAAAUACAGGUUACAAAAAAAAAUUGAGGUAUUUUUCCUUCUUGAAUUAACUUUUAAAAUAUUUUAAUAACAAUGAUUAAAUUAUUUAAUUUAAGUUCGCAGCCCCACCUGAUACCAGGCGAACUUCACCUUUUACUUAUUGGGGCCCUCAGAGCCUUCCUAUUGUAACUUAUUUAUUUAACUUAUUCAGCAUCUGAGAAAGGUGCGCUGUAUAGUUUAUAUUUUUUAUUUAAAACAACAGAGAGCACUGCCGUUCAUUUGCUGUCAGAACAACAGAGCAAAGUUGGUGGACAAGCCAUGACUGUUCAGCCCGAACCUGUGCAUUCAGAAAACAUAAGCCGAGACCCUGCUGCACCAGCCUGGAUUUCGGGGCUUCUAUACAGAAACUGGAAAAAUAAAUUAAAAAAAAAAUCGUAACAGCAAAAAGAGAGAAACCCUUAUACUAGCUGCUUCCAAGAAUGAACUCUGUGUGUGUAAAACAACAAAACAAAAAAGGAAAAAAAAAGCAGAAAAAAGAAAAAAAGGAAAAACUUUCUAUUUCUAGUGAGAACCAAAGAAGGCUACCUCACUGACUUUUUCCAUUUGUAAUUUUAAUCGUGUUGAUGACACCAAAGAUACCAAAGAUUUCUUUCUCUGUGCGGUCUGCAUUUUGCUUAUGCUCUUUUAUAAUUUUAACUAUUCUCUCUGACAUAUGGUAUGUACGGCCACAGCUCAGAUACCCCAAAGAAGUAAUUAUGUAUGCGACGGCGGCUGCUAAUUUGGAAAGGGAUAUUUUCUGUGUUUCUCUCAUUUGUUUGCUGUCCCCUCCACGUGUUCAGGAUGCAAGUUCAGAUGCUGCUGUAAUUGGAUUCCUUAAAUUCCAAUUCCAAAUUGGUGAAAAAGACUGGUUGGAAGUGGCCUUCAGUCCUAGGCACGACCUCUGUCCCCUGUUUUGGAGCUGUCACAAUAAAGAUUCCCAAUUACUGGACAUAGAAAUUCUAAUCAUUGAGUAGCAGAGCUGGAAGGGACCUUAGAAAUCACUUAGUCCAACCUCCCACGGCCUGGAGGAGUGAAAUGUUUCUCCAAGUCGAAUAACCAUCUAGAGACAAAUCCCAGACAAGCUCCUGCCUCCUGCUCCCAUGCUGUACCCAUUGCUCAGUGCUACCUCUGCAUGAGAUGGGCCACUCGUUGGCAAAGAGGAAGGUGGCAGUCCCUUAGCAAGGAGUAGGGCCUGGGGCUCAUCACUUAACACUUUCACUCUGUGAAAAUAGUCACAGGCAUUUCAGUGUCUGUCUAGUUAGAAUCUCAACAUACAGUCACAUAUGAUCAGUUGCUUGUAAAGAUGGCCAGCUUUGACAUAUUAGGACUCACAGAGGAGUUUUUGCCCUAAAGGACGCAUUGAUCCAAUGUAAUCAUUGUUGAACCUCCCAGUUACAGUGUUGUAUAUAUAAGCUUUUAAUUCAGGGAGAAGAGAAAGUUCAUUCUUGGUCUGUUGAGUUUAAUUAUUAUGAAUAUUUUUAGGUCAGUAUCAAAGAAAAGGAAUUUGAUCACCGUUUGCACAUGUGACAUUUAAUCUGUUCAGCUUUUUCCUUUUCCUCUUGACUUGUAGGUGUUUAUAUUUCGUUUCUAGGCCAAUUCUGUAUUUAUGAGAGAAGUUUAAGCCUUACAUCAUUGGAUGCUAAAGGAUUAUUUAUUGUAAAUGAAAGAUGACUCCAAAAUUUCAGGCGAAUAGACAUGCCAGUUUAAGAAAUGAUUACUUGAAGUUGCUUCUCUCUUCCCUUCUUACUCAUGAAAUUAACUGAUCUUCUUUAAGUUUCUUUUGAUUCCAUUAAAUCAUUAAAUCACUAUUAAAAUCCAUUCAUCAGAGUGAUUUGUAUGUUAGCCAGUGAGUCAUUCUCAGCUUUUGACUAAAUGGACUUUAGACAUAUGCCAAGAUCCGCCUCUGGUCUGUAUAGUUCUUUCUCGAGUACUACUAUUUUGUACUUUCCAUAAUGUAGUCGGCUUUGAGAUUUUUAAGAGACCAUUUAGACAAAGAAGCUAAGAAGGGAAAAGACCAAUCAACUUAUCCAUUCCAUGUGUCGACAGAGGGUAGCUAGUAGAGAAAUUUAGAAGACAGAGCGACAGACUUUAGGAAACACUCACUUACCCCUUUCUGUAGUUUCCAAGCACCAUACUGACAUAUGUGAAAGUUCUCUCCUGUCCAAACAAGCUCAAAGCUCCAUCUUCCCCCUAUACAAGGCAAAUUUGUAAGGCCUUCCUUCCAAACAGCAAAUUACUUUGGUCUUCUUCUCAAAUUCCCAUUGGAAAUAGAAUUCUCAGAAUACCUGGGAGACACAACAAAGAAGAUCUGAUCAUUGAGCAGCAGAGUGCUCCCCAAUAAGCAAAUACCACCUUCCCCAACCUUCCUACCACCAAGCCCCUACAAGAGGGAGCCUAGAGAGAGUGAUGGCAGACUGAACACAGAAAACAUCCCCAAUUGGCAGACCCCUCCUCAGCAAUCCCCCCUCAGCCUCAUGCUUCACUUGCAAAGUGUGACAUAACCACGGGACGAGUGCCUUGCUUGAACCAAAGCAACGAUUUAGCCAGUCUGGACCUCUCUGUGCUUUUUUUAAUCCUUCCUGUGAAUACCUCAGCUUCAACUGGGCCUCCAUACAGUAAAUUGGUGGGCUUAUUGUACUGUGGUGCUUUGCAAAGCAACCCUGCAAAGAACAAGAUUUGUACUAAUACCAAAGGUUCUUUCUCUAUGUCUCUUCCUUCUGCCUCCCCUGUUCUUGUCCCUUUUCUAGUUCUUCACGGUUCCAAAGCUUUAAUAUGAACCUGGGCAUGUUGGCAAUGCAGACCGCGCAGUUCCUUACCGAAUUUUCUCAGAUAUACCUCAUAGAUAAUAGUGUUUAGAGUAAUGUUAUUAUAGCGUAUGUAAUAAAUUAUUCACUGUUUCUUUUGGUAACUGUGAUUUAAAAAAAGAAAAAAGAAAAAAAAGCUUUAUACGUUUUAGGUUGUGCUUUUGUAAUAGAUGAAAAGGUGCGCUUAAAAAAAAUGUAUGUUCUUUUUUUCCCCUUUGGAUUUUAUUUAUUCUGGAUUGGGGAAAGUUGCAGAAUGAGCCCAAAGUUUACAGUUUCAUAUUUUGCUGAAGAAACAAUCUGUGUUCAUUUGCUCUGUUGAAAAAAAAAAACUUAUUUUCUACAUUUGUGCUACUUGGUCUGAACAAUUAAUUGUUCUGUGUUAACAGUGUAGUAUUAUAAUUAGCAACUGCCAAUCAGUGCUAUAAUUUUAUGCAUGAGGCUAAAAAUUUAGCAGUGUGAUGCAUUGUGGUCUUAAUAGCAACAUUUUCAUUUUGAACUAGAUCUUUCCCUUUGGUUCGAUGGACUUGAUUUAUGCAUGGGCGCCAAUCGUUGGUUAGCAGUUGUGGAACAGUUGUGUAUACAUUAAACUGUGAAAAUGUACACAGUUCAGCCUCAGACAGUGGUAAUAUUGGUUUUAUUGGGAGAUGUCUUACCUCGAAAAUACCUUUCCAUCUGUUGGGAUUUCAAAAUGAGUCAGGUUGAAUCGAGUUCAAAUUUUAUGAGAAAGGUCAUUCCAAGUUUGAGUUAGCCAACUUGCAUUCCACAAUUGGGAUCCUCAUAACCCAGCUCUAUCACUAUAUGCAAGAGGGGUUUGGAAACAAGCCCUGAAAAACAACUCAACUCUGCAUUUUUAAUUUCCACUAAAAGGAGUCAUUUUGGCUUUAUGUUCAUGACCUCAGACCUAACUAGCCAUGUAUAUGGAGAUGCGAAUUCAUCCAGCUCCUGACUCUCCUGGGUCUCUGCUUGGGAAUGGCCACUUUGGCUGUGCUUGGUUUCGUCUAGUAUUUUGUUGUCAAGUCAGUUCCCGGGAGAAACUCAAAUGGCAUCAAUAUCAAUAAUUAUUCUCUGGCAUUUUUGUCCAUUCUCCUGGACAACUCCACCAACUGUUCCAGUGAUUCGGGCAAAAAUUGAUGGCCGUUCACCUGUGCGGCCACAUCACAGUUCUUCCUCCCUAGGGGCAGAGCUGACUCUAACUUACCCUUUCCUGCCUGACAAUGUUACAUCUAUCCUAAAGGCGGUAUAAGAAGAUUUGAAACCCAGUUUAGGAAAACCAUCUUGGUUUAAACUCCACAGUUAUUUUGAGGCCUCUAUAUUUCAAAAAGUAUUUUCAGUCACAGUGGUUUAGGUAAACUUGUCCUUUCUUAUAUUUGGGUUCUGAGACCCAUUCUCAAGUUUCAUACCUAUUUCCCAAACCAGUAUGCUCGACAUAAAGCCAAAUUAGCUGCCAAGCACACUUUAUUUUGCAUAGGAGAGUGCAGCUUAGGAAACAGUGGUGGGAAAGCAACAGUCUGCUAGCAUUCAUUUUUCCUGUCAAUGAGAAUAUAUUGGGAAUGCGCUUUCAUUAAUAUUACAAAGAAACAUAUUUUUAUUUGGCCUUAUAAAGUAGAUUGUGAUAAUGAAAGCUUUGUAAUAUAUAGUCUUUUUUAUUUUUCCCCUUAUUAAUCUGCCAAAGAUGGGAAUGGAUACAAGAAUUUUAAGUCGGCUUUUGUAAGACAGUUAAUGAUUGUAAUAGUGUUUAAUCUUCCGGAAAGCUUUAUAUGUUCUUCCGCAAUAAACCAAAUCGAUAUUUGUUUCAGUAAAGUUCUCCUCACACUCAGAAACCCACAAACUAUUCCUCUUCAUGCAAAUAUUGUAGUAUCUACAAAGUUCAAAUGCAUUUUUGAUCCAAAAUAAACAGAGGAGUGUCUGAGACAUGAGUGUGCCCAGCCUUUUUAUUACGAGCAACGCAUGGGUCUGGCUCACUCGGCUUUGCCAAGAAGACUUGUCUUAUGAAACUCGAGGUAUAUUUUGUUAUGCCAUUUUGUGUCCUUUUUUUUCUUUUAACUUUGUGGAAAGUGACAUGUUGAAUCAAGUGUAAGCUGAGUUUUCCAGACAACUGAAGUAGCUACAUCGUGAAUGUUAUUUCGUUAUUAAAGGGUUUUUACUUCAUGCUUUGUGCCAAUGGAUGUCCUUUUCCUUGGGGACACAGAACUGUGGAAUUACCUCAGCUUGCCCUGGAUUUCACUCCUGCUCUCAUGGGGGAAUGUGGACCUGGCCUGGGAAAUGAAAGGUCAUGGGCUAGAAGGUAGGUUUUGGUGCAAGAAGAGGUCUCCCUACUAUCAGCUUUAAAGGAGCUGGGCCAAAACUCUCUAACCUCACUCUCUCUCGUCCCCAACACUUCUCUGAGAUCCCUUGGCCUCAAGCACAUGCUGGCAUGAAGGCAGACCCCAAUUCUUACAGGAAAGGCAAGGAAGAGAAAAUAGCAAUCCUGAAUCUUCAGGAAGCACCAGGCACUCACCUUUCCCUAAGCUGGGCUCCACCAGCAAGGCCAUGGUGGCCCAUCUGGUUGGCUUUACCUGCGCCACCACUGAAGGUAUUUUCCUCCCUCUUGACUACCACAAAGU